rnacentral:rRNA from 1 species
AGAAUCAACGCUGGCGGCGUGCCUAACACAUGCAAGUCGAACGCGAAAGUGGAGCAAUCCAUAAGUAGAGUGGCGAACGGGUGAGUAACACGUGGGUGACCUACCCUCGAGUGGGGGAUAACAUCCCGAAAGGGUGCUAAUACCGCAUGACAUCCUGUCUUUGAACAGACGGACAUUAGAGCCGGGGAUCGCAAGACCUGGCGCUCGUGGAGGGGCCCGCGCCCGAUUAGCUAGUUGGUGAGGUAACGGCUCACCAAGGCUUCGAUCGGUA